GUUCCUGCUCUUCAUCUUGAUAGUUGCCGGAUGGUCUUCAACAAUACUUUUGAAGAAUCAUUAAUACCGUAAAAGAUCGUAAAACAAGGUGAAGAUGGUCCCUAUUUUGGACUUAAGCAGUACUAGUACUUAACGUAUAAUACUGCAAUGUCACUAUAUUUAAAUCUAGUCAUACUGAAAAAAUCACCAAAGUCUAAUCACAAUACAAGACAAGAACAGACAGACAGAUACGGUAUUGAUAAUUAUGAGAAUUACGAUUUUUGCUUUAUCCUACAUAUCGGUCUUUUAAUGUUGUCUCUAAUACCUAAAAGUCUUAAUUACAACGAAUCUUUGUUUUUGCUUUGGGACCUGAUUGUCGAAAAAAAUAUCUAAAAAUUAAUUAAGCCGUUUCAAUGCAAGAAAGAGUCUGGGAAACGCUCAGAAUGCACGAUUUUGCGUUAUUUUUCUCAGAGCUUCUUCCCCCAGACCACUCACCCAAAAUUUUGCCUCACUAUUAAAAGAGGCUAGUUACGGCCC
rnacentral:lncRNA from 1 species